CCUUCGAUAUCUCAGUUAGAAGAACGUGGGACUGUAAUUGGUUACUUUGCAAAUCAUCCCGAUGUCACUGGUUCGAUCCCGGUUUGAAGGA